rnacentral:rRNA from 1 species
CCUACGGGAGGCUGCAGUGGGGAAUAUUGCACAAUGGGGGAAACCCUGAUCCAGCCACGCCGCGUGAGUGAAGAAGUAUUUCGGUAUUUAAAGCUCUAUCAGCAGGGAAGAAGCAAGACGGUACCUGACUAAGAAGCCCCGGCUAACUACGUGCCAGCAGCCGCGGUAAUACGUAGGGGGCAAGCGUUAUCCGGAUUUACUGGGUGUAAGGGGAGCGUAGACGGUAUGGCAAGUCUGAAGUGAAAGCCCAGGGCUUAACCCUGGGACUGCUUUGGAAACUGUUAGACUAGAGUGCUGGAGAGGUAAGUGGAAUUCGUAGUGUAGCGGUGAAAUGCGUAGAUAUUAGGAGGAACACCAGUGGCGAAGGCGGCUUACUAGACAGUAACUGACGUUGAGGCUCGAAAGCGUGGGGAGCAAACAGGAUUAGAUACCCCUGUAGUC